AGAGUUUGAUCCUGGCUUAGGAUGAACGCUAGCUACAGGCUUAACACAUGCAAGUCGAGGGGCAGCGAGGGGUUAGCUGCUAAUCCUGUCGGCGACCGGCGCACGGGUGAGUAACGCGUAUCCAACCUGGCCCAUAGUAGGAAUAGCCGGCGAAAGUCGGAUUAAUGCCCUAUGUUAUCCGAUGAGGACAUCUGAAUUGGAUUAAAGAUUCAUCGCUAUGGGAUGGGGAUGCGUCUGAUUAGCUUGCCGGCGGGGUAACGGCCCACCGGGGCAACGAUCAGUAGGGGUUCUGAGAGGAAGGUCCCCCACAUUGGAACUGAGACACGGUCCAAACUCCUACGGGAGGCAGCAGUGAGGAAUAUUGGUCAAUGGCCGCAAGGCUGAACCAGCCAAGUAAGCGUGCAGGAUGACGGCCCUAUGGGUUGUAAACUGCUUUUGCGGGGGAAUAAAGUGAGGGACGCGUCCCUUUUUGUAUGUACCCUGAGAAUAAGGACCGGCUAAUUCCGUGCCAGCCGCCGC
rnacentral:rRNA from 1 species